rnacentral:rRNA from 1 species
UNUGUCUUGGCUUCACNNUGCUUCUAUGGCCGGUACAAAGGGUUGCGAUACUGUGAGGUGGAGCUAAUCCCAAAAAGCCGGUCUCAGUUCGGAUUGGGGUCUGNAACUCGACCCCAUGAAGUCGGAGUCGCUAGUAAUCGCAGAUCAGNAACGCUGCGGUGAAUNCGUUCCCGGGCCUUGUACACACCCCNCNUCAAGNCACGAAAGUUGGUAACACCCGACACCGGUGGCCUAACCCCUUGUGGNAGGAGCUGUCGAAGGUGGG